UAGGCGUAAAACUUAGUAUAGUGUAACCUGUACAUUUAGGUUGCGGUUAAUAAUGUUUUGGUUUGUCCCAAGCGGAAGUCAUUCGCUUGUCACUUUUUCAUAGAACAGAUUUGGAGAAAGAAAUAGAAAUCCAGUUAGUUUUAUAUAUUUCAUUAGGAAUCAGUAAAUGAUAAGUAAGUCAUAACAUUAAGAGGUAUUACUGCUUUUGUAUUUGUGUUUAUCAUCCCCGAUUCUUUCUUCUAUUCUUUUAUUUCUUUACUCAAACUAUCGGGCUAUCGGUAAAAAUAUGUUGUUAUGAAUGAUCACUUUCACUUUGCAAUAAUUAAUAUUUCAGCUAGCAGAACUAACCCCACCAGCCAUAUAUAGGAACAGCAGGUCCUGAAUAGCACAUAUUCAGACGUCAUCUUCUACUACUGACUUCCUAUAAACAAGGCUUAAGCUAUAUGAAUAUUGAUUGUAUUCAGUGAAUAAAGUAUAUUGUAACUUG